rnacentral:rRNA from 1 species
GAUGAACGCUGGCGGCGUGCCUAAUACAUGCAAGUCGAGCGAACGGACGAGGAGCUUGCUCCUCUGACGUUAGCGGCGGACGGGUGAGUAACACGUGGAUAACCUACCUAUAAGACUGGGAUAACUUCGGGAAACCGGAGCUAAUACCGGAUAAUAUAUUGAACCGCAUGGUUCAAUAGUGAAAGACGGUUUUGCUGUCACUUAUAGAUGGAUCCGCGCCGCAUUAGCUAGUUGGUAAGGUAACGGCUUACCAAGGCAACGAUGCGUAGCCGACCCGAGAGGGGGAUCGGCCACACUGGAACUGAGACACGGUCCAGACUCCUACGGGAGGCAGCAGUAGGGAAUCUUCCGCAAUGGGCGAAAGCCUGACGGAGCAACGCCGCGUGAGUGAUGAAGGUCUUCGGAUCGUAAAACUCUGUUAUUAGGGAAGAACAAAUGUGUAAGUAACUAUGCACGUCUUGACGGUACCUAAUCAGAAAGCCACGGCUAACUACGU